UCCAAACCAUAAAUCAGCCCGCAGCCCUGUAUAACCGUCUGCUGAUGAUGCAGCUGGCGGAAUGGUGUCUUCAUGGGACCCGCUGGUGGUCUCAGAACCCAUCUUUGCUGGAAACCCAUUUCAUGGAGUUUGGUCAAGACUGACGAUCUUCUGUCCCCCACACCACGUCAUGGGCACUUAACUGAGACUGAAGUAAUCAAACUCUUCCUGGCCUUUUCUCCAAGAAAGAGGGUGGCUCUCAGCUGGAGAAGGUGAACCGAGGGCCCCCUCUGGCCAUCACAUGGGCCAUGUGGAGGGAGUCUGUCUCAGGGUCAGAGAGAAAGACAGCCUGCUGAAUCCAGGAGUCCUAGGUCAAGUGGUACUUUGGGAAGCUCCAGUUCUGUGAACCAAUAAAUCCACCCCUGCUGUUU